GCACCAGUUUCUCUCUGAGUCGAUUCCUCUUCGUGUUAAAGAAGUAUCCUGUCCCAGCAGCGCUUACCAUCUGCACCAAGAUGGUCCUGAGGGAAAAAGAAACAGUUUUGUGGUCCAUACGCUUGACCCAUUGGUGGCGGUAAUGCUUCCUAUAGUUGUUUACCAACCACCAUGACAACGAAGAAGAAGAAAAAUAAGGAAGGAGCCAUUUUGGAUACGGUGCUUCAAUAUUUAGGAGGACACUUUUACACCCACAUCUUUGCUUUCAUUGGAGUGCUGAACCAAAACACAUUCUCUCUGGGGAUUCUGUCAGCUUGUCCUCACUUUCUGUCUUCAAUUCAUUACCAGUGAGGCUGUUCCAGAAAAUGCUGCAUGAUCACAUCACACCCUGCCCUUGUCUUGGCUGUCACUGGGGCUUUUGAAGAAACUCAUCUGCGUCUGAACAUCUUUAUUCAGCUGUCCACUAUCACUGGGAAAAGCACAAGCAAAAUCUCUCUCAGGGUGGAUGUUUUUGCUUUAAGGAUGACCCAGAUUUGACUGUUCGCGUUCUGCCUCGCUGUGAGAAGAUCUAAUCUCAUGUGUACACUAUGCUGGAAGUCUCAUCUCUCCUUUGUUUUUGUGUAAAUCCUGUGAGCAACAUUUACAUUUGAACAUGCUGUAUUAAUAGUAUCCUGUGUGGCAUUUAAAAACCAGUACAGCUGAUUUAUUUAUUGCCAUCAUUUUUUUAGUUGGCAUCCUAUCCAACGCCUGUUUAAAGUCAUCAACAAGAGCUGGUGAAGGCAAAAACAAACAGCAGAAGGGCCUGAAUUGUCUCCCCACUUGCGUAAAUGGAAGCAGUUGAGUCAUUCAUGAUGUCACACACCGAUGUGCAUCUGAUUGCUAUGGUUACACCAAUCUCUGGAUAAUGAAGUUCUCAUAUUGGAUUUCCACAACACUAGCAGUCAUCCUCUUUCAGUUGCUGUAACCACUCACCCGUUUCAACUCCAGCAAACACUUUCCCAGCAACCUCAGCAAUUAUGCUACUGCCAGAAGAGAGGGAAAGGGAGGAAGUAGCACCCCUAGGCCCCCCGCCUUUGUUCAUCUUGGCUGGCCCCGGCUCCAUCCGUCAUCUAAGCCCAGUGCUUCCAUGCAAGGCCAGUGACGAGGGCCAUAGCAGCAUGCUGCUCUUCCUGCCGCUCUCAUUAAAUCGUCUCUGUUUCCUGUACUGCAGUGGUCUGGUGAGGACGUCUAUGAGAACUCGACUGGCUGUACAGAAACUCUCUGCUGCCCUCUUUUGUUCAGUAAUGCUCAGAAUGACUUCCACAAUCUGUUAGCCUGUAAAUUACUAAAAUGGGUAUUAAAAAAAACUUAAGAACACUGAUUAGAAAGUGCUUCACACAAUGAUGUAAAUUAUAAUCAAGGAUUAGAAGUGAAAGUGAUUUUAGCAUUUGAAGUGGAUUUUAUUUCCUUCUCAAAAGUAAGUUUUGUUCCUGUGCUAGAUUUAUGCUCUUUGGCAUAAAUCUGAUAGACAUACCUCCCAAAGCUGUCAUUUUCUACUAUUUUCUGUUUCGAAAUAUCAAACAAAAGAGUCUGUAGCAAAUGUUUGGGCAUUUUGCAUUAGUGGAGUUUCUUGCACAAUUGUCAGCCUGCAUGAGUUCCCUCUUCCGCAAAAGAAAAUGUGACAGGAAAUUUCACUAGGUGCAACUAUUAAGACAAAUAUGUUAGGCUUUUGAUAUGCCAGUAAUAUAUGCUGUAAAUGAGAUGCAUCAGUUGGUGGUAAGAAACAUCAUUUCAACCAAUAUCAUGUGGGGGGAAAAAAACAAUAUUGAGGUUUAAAAGAUUACUCACAAGUCACAAAUAUUAAACUCUUGAUGACUAGUAAUAUCAACAAGCAUAUUACUUUAAAGUAAUAUGCUUGUUUAUAUUUGAGAAAGCUAAACACAAAGUAGUAGAAUAUCGGAGUACAGGGGACCCAUUUUUCAUGCAGUGAUGUGAGGCUCUAAUGGAAACCAAACCUCGGAAGUGUUGUCAAGUCAUCAUGAAUUGGUACCUGGCAAAUAAAUGGGCACGUUCAAUGAUUUCAUACAAUCAGGCUGUAUUUUCACAAUAAUUUCACCUUUGGAGUGUGUUACCCUUAAACUCCCAUCAAAUUGUUUCAGCAGGAAAGAACAUACCUGGAAUAGUACUCACUUUAGAACAAAAAUGUUUUCAAAGAUAAACAUAUUGUGGCUAAUACAAAUAAUUACACAUUUGCAUUGCAAUUUUAAAACCUGAAGAUACACCUUUAAGGAGAGUCAUGGCAUAUAAAAAGUUUGUUUAAUUUUAUCCAUGUUCUCUGUGAGAAGGGAGGACUGUCUCAUUGUUUGUCAUGUGGUGUCAUUUGAUAAAGAUAAUCACGGCUUAAGGAACAAGACUGACCUGUGGUCAAGGCAGCUAUUUUUGGUGGCAGUGUCAGCAUCAGCUGUUUAACCUAAAACUUAGAUCUGUAGUCUCUGUUUUUCUCAGCAGUCAUCACAAUUCUAAAUGACAUAAUGCUUAAAUUGGUAACUUCACCCUUCGUUUGAUACCGCUGCACAUUUUAGUCACACUUGGAUCCCUCUUUACUGCAACAAGAAGAGAAGUGUAAAAAAAGAAAACCAUGUAGGUUUUUUCCCCCAACAAGACUUAUGACAUUUCUUAGAGGUCAAACUUCU